rnacentral:misc_RNA from 1 species
UCAUGCUUUCAAAGAUGAAUGACAAGUAACAUGUGUACCUAUUUUAGAUCAUUGAUCUAUCAGACCAUUCGAUACAUUGUGAGCAAAGAUGUAUGUGUGUGUUUCAUUUAUAAAUCGGCACGAAAUGUGCCAAGGAAAAGAAGAUAUUGCACCUCCUUUAAAUAUGGCACAUUGUUAUUUCUUAUAAGGGUGGCGAUUNAUCAAUAAU